ACGAGAAAGGCGGCAAGCUGCAUUCCCUGCCCUGCCAUCACAACCCUUGACGCCUACCUGGAGGCAUAUAUCAGCGCGGCCGGCAUUGCGACCGACGCGAAGGGCCCGCUGUUUCGAACGGCCGUUGACCGUUCAGGCAAGUCACUCACUGAAAACCCGAUGUGGCAGCAAGACGCCUACCGGAUGAUCCAGCGCCGCGCAAAGGCCGCAGGCAUCCGCACGAAGAUAGGGAACCACAGCUUCCGCGCUACUGGGAUCACGGCCCUAUUUGAAGAACGGCGGCCGUCUUGAAAUCGCGCAGCAGAUGGCUAACCAUGAGAGUAGCCGCACGACCGGGCUUUAUGACCGGCGCGGCGAUGAGAUCACUCUUGAUGAAGUCGAGCGGGUUGGGAUUUAAACCUUCGUCGCCUUUUGCUUCCCCCUGCACGCUUGUUAUUGUCCUUCCUGAUCGAGCGCCACUGGAUCACCCGAUCAACACCUUUGAUGGCCACACCGAUCCCGGCGAAGAUAAGGCACCAUGUUUCGUACAAACUCACAGCUCUACUCCUUACGCGGCGGCUCCGCAUACCGAUGUAUUGCCAACCGCCUACAAAGCUCUGAUCGGCAACCGCCCUUCUAGCAGGCCGAACUUUCUCGCAGUUGUUGACGGAUUUAAUUAUCGGGAUCUGCAAGAACGACGCCUGACCGGCGGCUAUGCCAAUGUCUUCAGCUGUUCUUUUCUGCGUCGCCCACGGCCUUUGGCGUCAAGCCAUCCAACAAAUGAGGGGGCACCUUGAAGGGCUUCGCGAGAAGCCGAUGAACUCGCACCCAGGCGAUGGCGCUGUACUCCCAUGCUGUAUCUCGAAUGGCUUCGUCUAGCAACGGCUUCAGAUGCUCAAUGAGUUUUUUUUCAAACAACUCGUAGGAUGAAACGCUGGGUGUCGUCUGUUAAAGCAAUCGUUCUUAGUUGAUGCAGAACUGGUGUGACCGCAUCUUUAGAACGGAGGCGAAAUCCUAAGAUCGGGUUUGCGGCAGCUACGAGCGUGACGGCUUCGUUGUAUCGCUUCCCCGAAUCUCCAUCGAUCGGGAAAACUUUGCCAACGCUACUUUUAGUGCUGUUUGACCCGCCGCCGAAUGGAAAACUGUUCGGAGAGAAAAUUCACCGCAUAGUGCAACGACAGAAGCCGAUGACGAAUUUCAAGGAGGUCAGCGAGGGCGCGGCCGAUUGCUCUUUUCUCCUCACGGCGCACUAUAAAGCGCUGGGAAAGCUCAUGCAGCACCCAGCCCACCACGACACGAUUAGUGCUUGCCACUCUUGCAUGUGGGUUCAUUUUCUCCUGUCCCUGCCCUUACCGCUCGAUAUUGGUCCGGCCGCUUGGGCACCGCGCGCAGCCUUGCCCAUUCACCCGGCCACGGUUCGCCCGCCUGAUGCCGUCAAUUCCAGAGGCUCUUUCGUUUUGGGUUUCCGCUGCGCAGACCCUCCACAAAACGAAGAGAGCCUUGGAUGACUGCGGCGUGCGCCCGGCGGCUUCGGGUGGCCAUAGGCUGGCGCCAGUGCCAGCCGGACAACUAAGAAAAGGCGACUGCCAUGAAAACCACCGACUGCCCCAUUGCUCAAAGCGAUAAACGAUUUAACCCUCGCGGAACUGAUAACGCAGAGGAGCGACCUCCUUCGAGCGCACAGUCAAUUGAUAGCAAGCCUCGAAGCCCUACUGGAGUGGUGGGACGAAUGGACCAACUCCGAUGAUCCAUGCGCUGUCGAAGAUCCCGACGUUGAAGACUUCCGUGAGGUCCUCGCCAAUGCAACAGCCCUUACGGGUCGGAGAGCGCAAUGACCCAAAAAUACUUGCCAUAACCGUUCCCGUUCGCUAAGGUCCGCCCGUCACCGAAAAAACGUUUCUAGAAAACAGUCCAAGGAUGAAGGGGGGGGAUAUUGCGCGACUUCCACGAUCAGGCGAGGCCGCCGCCCAACCAUCAGAAAGAGCUGGUGAAGCUUGUCACCAGCCUCGCCUACCGCCACAGUCCAGUGGCAAGUAUUUGCUGAUUUCGUUGAGAUGGGUGCGCUUUCAUUCAGCAAUGCAGUUGACCUCGCGCAAUGCGACAGACGCGAAGCGCCCGGUACAUGGAGAUCAUCACACGCUACAAACCGGACGAGCUGG
rnacentral:misc_RNA from 1 species